CCUCUUUGAGCUGAGGCUUCUUUCUUCUGUUCUCAGACACUGGUGCGCCUGGUUCUUGGGCUUUCAGACUCAGACUGGGAUUUAUACCAUCAGCCCCCUAUUCUCAGACCUCAGACUUCAACUGAAUUACACCUCUGGCUUUCCUGAUUUUCCAACUUGCAGAUGGCAGACUGUGGGACUUCUCAGCUCCAUAACCACGGCCUGCUUAUCCCCAGUCCAUACUUGCUCUCACUGGAUAGCACUCAGGACCAGACAGAGGACAUUUCUCAGAAUCUGCACCACUGCAUGACCCUUGAGAAAUGAGGACUCUGAAAGUUUGUACACAUAUAUCACCUAUCAAUUUUGUUAUUCUUCCUGCUUGAUACAUGAAGGUUCCCAAUUAUUUGUGCGGAUAUGUACUGGUGAAGAGACAUGGACUCCAUUAAUAGCAAAAGAAAAUGAAAUGCCAGAGAUAUUUGGAAAAAAUGAGUUAAUGAGCCUCAGUGUCUUAAGAAGUAUCAAGUCACCCUUACUCUUAUUCAGCUCCAGUCUCUCCGUUUUUUCAUUUUACAUUCAGAACGUGCCUAAGAUUCUCUGCUUUCUUUAUCUGACAGAUUGGCUGUGAGGGUCAAGAGUGAAAGAUUCAUGUACACUGGAAACAGCCCAGCCAGCAAUCUGAUAUUAUUA